GGCGGGGUUCCGAGCGGCCAAAGGGAGCAGACUGUAAAUCUGCCGUCAUCGACUUCGAAGGUUCGAAUCCUUCCCCCGCCACCA
rnacentral:tRNA from 1 species